GAUGAACGCUGGCGGCGUGCUUAACACAUGCAAGUCGAACGAGCCUUCGGGCUAGUGGCGGACGGGUGAGUAACGCGUGGGAAUCUGCCCUCAGGAGGGGGAUAACGGCCGGAAACGGCCGCUAAUACCCCAUAUGCCGAGAGGUGAAAUGAAUUUCGCCUGAGGAUGAGCCCGCGUCUGAUUAGCUAGUUGGUGUGGUAAUGGCGCACCAAGGCUUCGAUCAGUAGCUGGUCUGAGAGGAUGAUCAGCCACACUGGGACUGAGACACGGCCCAGACUCCUACGGGAGGCAGCAGUGGGGAAUUUUCCGCAAUGGGCGCAAGCCUGACGGAGCAACGCCGCGUGAGGGACGAAGGCCUCUGGGCUGUAAACCUCUUUUCUCAAGGAAGAAGACAUGACGGUACUUGAGGAAUAAGCCACGGCUAAUUCCGUGCCAGCAGCCGCGGUAAUACGGGAGUGGCAAGCGUUAUCCGGAAUUAUUGGGCGUAAAGCGUCCGCAGGCGGCCCAGCAAGUCUGUUGUUAAAAAGUGGAGCUUAACUCCAUCCAGGCAAUGGAAACUGCUGGGCUAGAGUGUGGUAGGGGCAGAGGGAAUUCCCGGUGUAGCGGUGAAAUGCGUAGAUAUCGGGAAGAACACCAGUGGCGAAGGCGCUCUGCUGGGCCAUAACUGACGCUCAUGGACGAAAGCCAGGGGAGCGAAAGGGAUUAGAUACCCCUGUAGUCCUGGCCGUAAACGAUGAACACUAGGUGUCGGGGGAAUCGACCCCCUCGGUGUCGUAGCCAACGCGUUAAGUGUUCCGCCUGGGGAGUACGCACGCAAGUGUGAAACUCAAAGGAAUUGACGGGGGCCCGCACAAGCGGUGGAGUAUGUGGUUUAAUUCGAUGCAACGCGAAGAACCUUACCAGGGUUUGACAUCCUGCGAAUCCCUUGGAAACUUGGGAGUGCCUUCGGGAGCGCAGUGACAGGUGGUGCAUGGCUGUCGUCAGCUCGUGUCGUGAGAUGUUGGGUUAAGUCCCGCAACGAGCGCAACCCACGUCUUUAGUUGCCAGCAUUUAGUUGGGCACUCUAGAGAGACCGCCGGUGAUAAACCGGAGGAAGGUGUGGAUGACGUCAAGUCAUCAUGCCCCUUACAUCCUGGGCUACACACGUACUACAAUGCUACGGACAAAGGGCAGCAAACUCGCGAGAGCUAGCAAAUCCCAUAAACCGUGGCUCAGUUCAGAUCGUAGGCUGCAACUCGCCUACGUGAAGGAGGAAUCGCUAGUAAUCGCAGGUCAGCAUACUGCGGUGAAUACGUUCCCGGGCCUUGUACACACCGCCCGUCACACCAUGGAAGUUGGCCAUGCCCGAAGUCGUUACUCCAACCCGUAAGGGAGGAGGACGCCGAAGGUGGGGCUGAUGACUGGGGUGAAGUCGUAACAAGGUAGCCGUACCGGAAGGUGCGGCUGGAUCACCUCCUAA
rnacentral:rRNA from 1 species